UACGUAGGGUGCGAGCGUUAAUCGGAAUUACUGGGCGUAAAGCGUGCGCAGGCGGUUUUGUAAGCCAGAUGUGAAAUCCCCGGGCUUAACCUGGGAAUGGCCUAUGUGACUGUCAGGCUAGAGGAUGGCAGAGGGAGGCGGAAUUCCACGUGUAGCAGUGAAAUGCGUAGAGAUGUGGAGGAACACCGAUGGCGAAGGCAGCCUCCUGGGCCAAUUCUGACGCUCAGGCACGAAAGCGUGGGGAUCAAACAGG
rnacentral:rRNA from 1 species